GCUGUGAACAUUUCAACCACAAAAAGAAAAACUUGUCACUUCAAACUCAUCACUUGCAAGGGCAACAAGCAGAAGAACGAAAAACUGAAGAUGUCUCAACAGAAAGAGAAUAUAAAAGCCAAACAAAGCCCUCUGGAUCCAGAUAAAAUGGAGAAUGAGGCAAAACAUUUC